GACGAACGCUGCGCGGCAGGCUUACAGAUGCACGUCCCACCAGAACGUUCUGGCUUUACCAGGACAAUUACAGUGGCGGAAGGGUGCUGUAUCUCGUAGAUAACCUGCCCUCAGGCGCGGGACAAUCUCGGGAAACCGUGGCUAAUACCCCACGUCUUCUGGACCCCGCAUGGGGACCACAAGAUAGCCAUCCGGCUCCUUUGGAUGGGUCUGCUUUGGAUUAACUCCUUGGUGAGGUAACGGCUCACCAAUGCAACCAUCCAUAUCUGGUCUGAGAGGACCAUCAGCCACAGUGGGACUGAAACUCAGCCCAUACUCCUACUGGAGGCAUCAGUGGGGAAUCUUGCACAAUGGGGUCACCCCUGAUGCACCCAUGCCGCGUGGAGGAAGACACCCCUAUGGGGCGUAAACACCUUUUCUGAACGAACAAACCCCUGUAGGUUCACGGCGCGACGGUAGUUCAGGAAUAAGCACCGGCUAACUCCGUGCCAGCAGCCGCGGUAAAACGGAGGGUGCAAGCGUUGUCCUGAAUCACUGGGUGUAAAGGGUGUGCACGCGGGGCAACGAGUCGGAUGUGAAACCCCAUGGCUCAACCAUGGAGGUGCAUUCGAAACUGUUGCUCUUGAGUCCCGGAGAGGCUGUCCGAAUUCAUGGUGUAUCGGUGAAAUGCGUAGAUAUCACGAGGAACACCAGAGGCGAUAGCAGGCAGCUGGACCGGUACUGACGCUCAGGCACGAAAGCGCGGGGAGCAAACAGGAUUAGAUACCAGUGUAGUCCACGCCGUAAAUGAUGAACGAUAGCUGUUGCCCCGAUCAAGGGGCAGUGAAUAAGAUAACGCUUUAAGCGUUCCACGUGGGGAGUACGAUGGCAAGGUUGAAACUCAAAGGAAUUGACGGGGGCCCGCACAAGAGGUGGAGCAUGUGGUUCAAUUUGAUGCAACGGGAAGAACUUUACGUAGGCUCGAACGGUAAAGGACCGGUCGUGAAAGGGAGCUUCCCCUUUGGGGCCUUUAGCGAGGUAGUGCAUGGCUGUGGUCAGCUCGUGUAGUGAGAUGUUGGGUUAAGUCACGCAACGAGAGUAACCCCCGUUGUUAGUUACCAGCGGAUAAUGCCAGGGAGUCUAGGGAAACUGCCUGCGCAAGCAGUGAGGAAGGUGGGGAAGAAGUCAAGUCAACAUGGUCGUUACGCGUAGGGCUGCACACGUGUUACAAUGGCCGGGAAAACGAGCAGCCACCUCGCGAGAGGGAGCGAAUCUGUGAAACCCGGUCUCAGUUAGGAUUGGAGUCUGGAACUCGACUCCAUGAAGCAGGAAUCGGUAGUAAUUGUGGAUCAGCAAAUGCGGGGUAUGAAUCGGUUAUCGGGCAUUGUACACACGGCCCGUCAAGCCUAUGUGAAGCUGUGAGCACCUGAAGUCCAUGAAUCAAGUCUGGCGUUAGUUGGAGUGAGAGCGGCAGUAGUAUGAGAUCAGUCCAUGGGGCU
rnacentral:rRNA from 1 species